UACGUAGGGUGCAAGCGUUAAUCGGAAUUACUGGGCGUAAAGCGUGCGCAGGCGGUUAUGCAAGACCGAUGUGAAAUCCCCGGGCUCAACCUGGGAAUUGCAUUAGUGACUGCAUGGCUAGAGUGUGUCAGAGGGGGGUAGAAUUCCACGUGUAGCAGUGAAAUGCGUAGAGAUGUGGAGGAAUACCGAUGGCGAAGGCAGCCCCCUGGGAUAACACUGACGCUCAUGCACGAAAGCGUGGGGAGCAAACAGG
rnacentral:rRNA from 1 species